AAAUACGCUAACUUGUAAGUCGAAUAAAUGAAUUCCUUGCCAUAAUAAUAAUAAAUCUAGGAAGCACAAUACAAUAUAUAUUGUAGUAUGUAAGAGUGUAUAUAUACAUACACACACUCACAUUCUCUUACACACUACAAUACAUGCUGUAUUGUGUAUUGAAAGAAAGUAUACCGUGUGUGUGUGUGUGUACACACACUAUACUUUCUUUCCUUGUUGUUUAUCAAGAAACUUUAUAUAAAUUACUACAGUCGGCUAUCUUAGUGACAAGAUCUUUAGUGCAACAAGAGGGUGAAAAAUCGAUCUGACAUCGUCAGUACAUAUCAGUCUCACUUCGCUUCUGUUUCAAAGAUAACAUUAACGAAUUAAAAAUUACUUUAAUUUUUCUUUUUUUUUUAAUUUAGUUUACGUGUUAUUAAUUAAAUUGGUAGAUUAAUGUAUAAAAAAUGGUUUUUUAACUAUGCCAAGUGACAUGUUAAUGCAUGUGUGGGUAAUUCGCUGAGUGCAAUCCACGUAGCAAUUAUGUUUGAAAAUAUCAUUGAUGAAUUACCUUAUUCGCCCGCCCUAUUCUAGCAUGAGGGAAAGACAAUCUUGACAUGAAUGAAGUGCCAAGAGGGACGAUGUCGGAUUGUGUCACCUUGAAGUUUCUCUGGGAAGGGUCUCAGAAUAAGGUGAAAAACAGGGUCCUGGGAAAACGCUCCAAGCAUGGACCAAGUCCAGACGUCAUUCUUGUUCCCCCAAUCUUCCUGCUAAUUAUCCAUUGGCUUGGCAAUUCCAUUUCCUCCAGAAAGACCUCUCGAAUAUUUUAUGUCCAAAGAAGGGAUGUCUCUUUUUUUUUCUGUUGUUCUGAUUGUAUCUACCUUUUGUAUAAUCUAUUUAUAG
rnacentral:lncRNA from 1 species